UACGUAGGGAGCAAGCGUUGUCCGGAAUCAUUGGGCGUAAAGCGCGCGUAGGCGGCCCUGUAAGUCCGUUGUGAAAGUCAAAGGCUCAACCUUUGAAAGCCGAUGGAUACUGCAGGGCUAGAGUCCGGAAGAGGCGAGUGGAAUUCCUGGUGUAGCGGUGGAAUGCGCAGAUAUCAGGAGGAACACCGAUAGCGAAGGCAGCUCGCUGGGACGGUACUGACGCUAAGGCGCGAAAGCGUGGGGAGCGAACAGG
rnacentral:rRNA from 1 species